UUAUGCCUACCCGCACCCUAGGACCGUCGCGGCGGCCCGCCGGGAACGGGGCGGGGGUCGUGACACUUAUUGAUUCAAGAUUUCAUCUGAGCCUCAUACUUUGCGUCUAUCCUUCUUGCUCUUCCAGAGGUUUUGCGGCAUGGUGAAGCAGAAAACAGCUAAUUCCAAACGGCAAGGCAAUCUUGGAAGGUCUGAUGCUUUUCAGCAGGCAACUGCUUGCAGCUGAGUUUGUUUGGUUGUAGAUACAAUGAUGGGAUUUUCACUUGAUUGAAGUGUUCAUGAUGGUGUGAGAUCUCAAAAAGGAAACCCAGCUUUGGCAGUUGGAAGGAGAAGCAAGGGCAGGGCAGCCUGAGUGCACAUGCUAAAAAUUUAACCCUGGGGUCAUGGAGCACAGAUUGAGUCAGCUUGGGUCAGGAGGUUUUGCCCAUGAUUAUGUGCCAGCACUGGAGGUUUCAUGCAGUGAAUUGCUAGGUGCCCUUGUCAGGUUUGUGCAAUUAUAGGGGAAAUAGGUUUUGCUAGAAUGUCUAAAUAUAAGAUGUCUUAAGACAUUGACUUUGGAAAGAGACCUUGUGCACUUCUUAGAAGGCUCUUAAGAUCUUGGAGAUCUACUAGGCAUUUUUAUAUAUUGUUAUAUAGUAUCAGCUGUUUGUAAGAUAAGAAGCCCUACUCCAUCAAUUGGGGAGAACUAUAAGAAUUCUAUUUGACCAUUAGUUCCUGUGUAAGGCCACAUACUCCAAAAAUGAAAUUAUA